rnacentral:rRNA from 1 species
UGGGGAAUAUUGGACAAUGGGCGCAAGCCUGAUCCAGCCAUACCGCGUGGGUGAAGAAGGCCUUCGGGUUGUAAAGCCCUUUUGUUGGGAAAGAAAUCCUGUCGAUUAAUACUCGGUGGGGAUGACGGUACCCAAAGAAUAAGCACCGGCUAACUUCGUGCC